GCUGAACUGCUGGCCAUACAGGUCAUGCGGAAUGUAGCGUUUAGAAGGGUCUCUUCCAAAGCAUUAGACACCAGUCAAAGUCCAACUUGACAGUGGCCACAGCCCAUAGAGGGUGAUAGGCCCGUAAGGCGGUCGUCUGGCUUUGCUGACCUCUUCUCAGAGUCGGGUAGCUUGUGAGUGCUGCCCAAAGUGCGAGGUAAACUCCUCGUAAGGCUAAAUACAACCCCAAUACCGAUAGCAAACAAGUACAGUGAUGGAAAUUUGAAAAGAACUUUGAAGAGAGAGUUAAGAGUACGUGAAACUGUAUGGUAGUAAACGCAGCCUUCCUCGAAGUUUCCUCGUGUGGAUCCAGCCUAAGAGCGGCGGGUGCCCCGGUCUGUGCUGAGCAGCAAUGCCAGNNGGNNUGGGUGGUCUGCCUGUCGUGUCGCGGGUGCAUCUUCACACGUUGUUACUGUAGGAACCGUUGGCGCCUGCUCCAAAGGCCUGGGAUGAAGUUUCAACUGUCUGUAGUGGGCGGUCGAAGCUCCCGGUGUCCUGGCGGCGGGCCCGACGGGCAUUAUGGCCGACUUGUAUAGCAAGCAACCGCUGCUGUUGCGGUUGGCCAUUCCCUACAGAGUAGGUCGGCGGAGGCUGCGACCCGUCUUGAAACACGGACCAAGGAGUCUAACAUGUGUGCGAGUUUUUGGGUUGUCUAAACCCGGAAGCGCAGUGAAAGCAAAGGGCUGCCCGUCAGCCUUAGGGGAGAUCCUUAACCGGCGCAUCCCCGCCAUUUCCAAUCAGCCUCGUCUGUUGGGAAUAGGAAGAGCAUACAUGUUGGGACCCGAAAGAUGGUG
rnacentral:rRNA from 1 species